rnacentral:rRNA from 1 species
AUUGAACGCUGGCGGCAUGCCUUACACAUGCAAGUCGAACGGCAGCACGGGAGCAAUCCUGGUGGCGAGUGGCGAACGGGUGAGUAAUAUAUCGGAACGUGCCCAGUCGUGGGGGAUAACGCAGCGAAAGCUGUGCUAAUACCGCAUACGAUCUACGGAUGAAAGCGGGGGAUCGCAAGACCUCGCGCGAUUGGAGCGGCCGAUAUCAGAUUAGCUAGUUGGUGAGGUAAAGGCUCACCAAGGCGACGAUCUGUAGCUGGUCUGAGAGGACGACCAGCCACACUGGAACUGAGACACGGUCCAGACUCCUACGGGAGGCAGCAGUGGGGAAUUUUGGACAAUGGGCGCAAGCCUGAUUCAGCAAUGCCGCGUGCAGGAUGAAGGCCUUUGGGUUGUAAACUGCUUUUGUACGGAACGAAACGGUGAGCUCUAAUACAGUUUGCUAAUGACGGUACCGUAAGAAUAAGCACCGGCUAACUACGUGCCAGCCGCCGCCGUAACAC